rnacentral:rRNA from 1 species
CCUACGGGAGGCAGCAGUAGGGAAUAUUGGUCAAUGGGUGCGAGCCUGAACCAGCCAUGCCGCGUGCAGGAAGACGGCCUUCUGGGUUGUAAACUGCUUUUGCCAGGGGAUAAAAAGCUCAUGCGUGAGCAAUUGAAGGUACCUGGUGAAUAAGCACCGGCUAACUACGUGCCAGCAGCCGCGGUAAU